rnacentral:rRNA from 1 species
AUGAGCAGCCACACUACCUGCAGUUCCGACUCUGUAAUCCAUCAGAAUCUAAGCAGGUUUGGACCUGCCCAGUACUUGGACGGGAGACCAAGUAGGAAAGCUGGGCUGUUGCUGGAA